AGAGAAGCGCAAACGGUGGAUGCCUUGGCAGUAAGAGGCGAAGAAGGACGUGGAAUCCUGCGAAAAGCUAUGGGGAGCUGGAAACGAGCGUUGAGCCAUAGAUGUCCGAAUGGGGGAACCCGGCUGCAGCGAUGCGGUCAUUUGCAUUUGAAUACAUAGGAUGCAAAGGCGAACUCGGGGAACUGAAACAUCUAAGUACCCGAAGGAAAAGAAAUCAAGAGAGAUUCUCCAAGUAGCGGCGAGCGAACGGGGAGGAGCCUGGCGUGAUUUAUUAUUGAACUGAGUAGAACAAUUUGGGAAAGUUGGCCGUAGAGGGUGAAAGCCCCGUAUACGAAGGUUUGAUGAGGAACUAGGCACGCGAACAAGUAGGCCGGGACACGUGAAAUCCUGGUUGAAGAUGGGUGGACCAUCAUCCAAGGCUAAAUACUACUUACUGACCGAUAGUGAACCAGUACCGUGAGGGAAAGGUGAAAAGAACCCCGGAGAGGGGAGUGAAAUAGAAUCUGAAACCGUUUGCGUACAAGCAGUGGGAGCAUAGUUUAGGCUGUGUGACUGCGUACCUUUUGUAUAAUGGGUCAGCGAGUUACUUUCAGUGGCGAGGUUAACUGAAUAAGGGAGCCGUAGAGAAAUCGAGUCUGAAUAGGGCGAUAGUCGCUGGGAGUAGACCCGAAACCGGGCGAUCUAGCCAUGUGCAGGAUGAAGGUUGGGUAACACCAACUGGAGGUCCGAACCGGGUAAUGUUGAAAAAUUAUCGGAUGACGUGUGGCUAGGAGUGAAAGGCUAAUCAAGCCCGGAGAUAGCUGGUUCUCCCCGAAAGCUAUUUAGGUAGCGCCUCGUGAAUGAUUACUGGGGGUAGAGCACUGUUUCGGCUAGGGGGCUGUCAUGGCUUACCAAACCGAUGCAAACUCCGAAUAC
rnacentral:rRNA from 1 species